GAUGAACGCUGGCGGCGUGCCUAAUACAUGCAAGUCGAGCGAACAGAUGAGGAGCUUGCUCCUCUGACGUUAGAGGCGGACGGGUGAGUAACACGUGGUUAACCUAACUAUAAGACUGGGAUAACUUCGGGAAACCGGAGCUACUACCGGAUAAUAUAUUGAACCGCAUGGUUCAAUAGUGAAAGACGGUUUUGCUGUCACUUAUAGAUGGAUCCGCGCCGCAUUAGCUAGGUGGUAAGGUAACGGAUUACCAAGGCAACGAUGCGUAGCCGAACUGAGAGGGUGAUCGGCCACACUGGAACUGAGACACGGUCCAGACUCCUACGGGAGGCAGCAGUAGAGAAUCGUCCGCAAGGGGCGAAAGCCUGACGGAGCAACGCCGCGUGAGUGAUAAAGGUCUUCGGAUCGUAAAACUCUGUUAUUAGGGAAGAACAAAUGUGUAAGUAACUAGGCACGUCUUGACGGUACCUUAGCAGAAAGCCACGGCUAACUACGUG
rnacentral:rRNA from 1 species